rnacentral:rRNA from 1 species
UACGUAGGGGGCAAGCGUUGUCCGGAUUUAUUGGGCGUAAAGAGCUCGUAGGCGGUUUGGUAAGUCGGGUGUGAAAAUCUCCACGCUCAACGUGGAGGGGCCACUCGAUACUGCCAUGACUCGAGUCCGGUAGAGGAGUGUGGGAAUUCCCGGUGUAGCGGUGAAAUGCGCAGAUAUCGGGAGGAACACCCGUAGCGAAGGCGGCACUCUGGGCCGGAACUGGACGCUGAGGAGCGAAAGCGUGGGGAGCGAACAGG